rnacentral:rRNA from 1 species
CACGGCCCAGACUCCUACGGGAGGCAGCAGUGGGGAAUAUUGCACAAUGGGCGAAAGCCUGAUGCAGCGACGCCGCGUGAGGGAUGACGGCCUUCGGGUUGUAAACCUCUUUCAGCAGGGAAGAGCGAAAGUGACGGUACCUGCAGAAGAAGCGCCGGCUAACUACGUGCCAGCAGCCGCGGUAAUACGUAGGGCGCAAGCGUUGUCCGGAAUUAUUGGGCGUAAAGAGCUCGUAGGCGGCUUGUCACGUCGGAUGUGAAAGCCCGGGGCUUAACCCCGGGUCUGCAUUCGAUACGGGCUAACUUGAGUGUGGUAGGGGAGAUCGGAAUUCCUGGUGUAGCGGUGAAAUGCGCAGAUAUCAGGAGGAACACCGGUGGCGAAGGCGGAUCUCUGGGCCAUUACUGACGCUGAGGAGCGAAAGCGUGGGGAGCGAACAGGAUUAGAUACCCUGGUAGUCCACGCCGUAAACGUUGGGAACUAGGUGUNGGUNACUUUCCNNGNCNNCGGGGCC